UUACUGUAAUUAUAUUAAAUUAAUCUCCUAUAAUCAUACUAAUUAUUAUGAUUAUGCUAAACAAAUCUCUUAUAAUCAUUCUAUAAUCACAGGAAAGAAAAUGGCUGGGAAAAGGACUGUACCAUCGCCUAGGGUCCCACAAUAUAUAACAAGGAGAACAAAAAGUAAGGACGUUUCUUUUGGUCAUAUAUAGAGAUAUACAUAUAAACGAUGUGCCAAACUAAAAGAGAAAUUAUCACCAAUUGACUAGUGCUGCAGCCAUUCCUGGAUUGCCGAUCGAAGUGCUUUGUUGGGCACGAGAUUGUAGUGUGCAAGCUUAUGGUGGGUCAUGGGCGAAGUGUCAUGUCCACUGUCCAGCCAUCCUCUU
rnacentral:misc_RNA from 1 species